rnacentral:lncRNA from 1 species
ACCUACCUAUGUUUGAAAAUGUUUGUUUUCGUUUGAAUUACGAGUCGAACGCGCCUUCUACGUUUUGUGUAUUGUGGUUUACAAACUGACCCUGGACUGAAAUCGGACUUUGAUUUGGCUUCAUGAAACCUGCUUUCACGUAGCGGCACAGGAACAGUGGUUAUAAAAAAUGACUGCACACAAUUGUUCUUAUUAUAAUUGUACAAAUUCUUCGGAACAGAAGUCAAUGUUCCGUUUUCCGUAGGAUGACGUCAACCGCCUAAAAGUAUGGCUUGAGAAUUGCGGUAAUAUGAACAUUGCCCACUUGCCUGCAGAAAAUUUGCGGUCAAGGUAUUUAUGCAUUGACCAUUUCAAUAUCAAGUAUGUACGAAAUGAGACUGGUCAUAGAAAAAGACUCCAGAGAAGUGCAGUUCCAGAACCAUAUCAGACUCAAGACGUUCAAAAUCGCUCAAGCACUUCCUCACCAGGUUCAUCAGGUACUUUUAAAGUACUGACACCGAAAAAGGUGUACAAAAAUAAACGGCUUCGCGACUGCGAACUUGAAGAGCUCGUGGAGCCGCCAGCAUUAGCAUACCAGUGCAACACGCCGAAGAGAAGACGGUUGUCAAUUACUGAAGACACGCCAAAAUGCAAAGUGUUAAAAAAGAAAUUAGUAUUGUAUCUAACAAUAACAAAAUGUAAUACCUUUUGAAUUAAAGAAGUAGUUUAAUUGAAUA